rnacentral:rRNA from 1 species
UACGUAGGGUGCAAGCGUUGUCCGGAAUUAUUGGGCGUAAAGAGCUUGUAGGCGGUUUGUCGCGUCUGCUGUGAAAUUUCGGGGCUCAACCCCGAACUUGCAGUGGGUACGGGCAGACUAGAGUGUGGUAGGGGAGACUGGAAUUCCUGGUGUAGCGGUGAAAUGCGCAGAUAUCUGGAGGAACACCGGUGGCGAAGGCGGCGUUCUGGACUGCAACUGACACUGAAAGACGAAAGCCAGGGGAGCAAACGGG